GAUGAACGCUGGCUGCGGGCUUAACACAUGCAAGUCGAGCGGAAACGCUCUGCGUGUUUGGUCUGCUCGACGUGCGAACGGGUGAGUGACACUUGAGUAUCCUCCCCUUGACUUUGGGCUAGCUUCAGGAAACUGGGGCUAAGACCGGUUAGGUGUUCCUGCUUCGGGGUUGGUGUUGUAAAGUUUCGGCGGUUGGGGAUGGACUCGCGGCUUUUCAGCUGGUUGGUGGGGUAGUGGCUUACCAAGGCUUUGACGGGUAGCCGGCCUGAGAGUGUGACCGGGCCAAUUGCGACAGAGCUACGGCCCAGAGUACUACGGGAGACAGGAGUAGGGAAGAAUGCCUGAUGGGCGGAAGUAUCAUGCAGCAACGCCGCGUGAGGGAUGAUGGACUGCGGGUAGUCAACCGCAUUGGCAUGUGCCGAAGCGUGAGUGACGGUACUGGGUGAAGAAGCACCGGCUAACUACGUG
rnacentral:rRNA from 1 species